AAUGGGUCAGCGACUUAUAUUCUGUAGCAAGGUUAACCGAAUAGGGGAGCCGAAGGGAAACCGAGUCUUAACUGGGCGUUAAGUUGCAGGGUAUAGACCCGAAACCCGGUGAUCUAGCCAUGGGCAGGUUGAAGGUUGGGUAACACUAACUGGAGGACCGAACCGACUAAUGUUGAAAAAUUAGCGGAUGACUUGUGGCUGGGGGUGAAAGGCCAAUCAAACCGGGAGAUAGCUGGUUCUCCCCGAAAGCUAUUUAGGUAGCGCCUCGUGAAUUCAUCUCCGGGGGUAGAGCACUGUUUCGGCAAGGGGGUCAUCCCGACUUACCAACCCGAUGCAAACUGCGAAUACCGGAGAAUGUUAUCACGGGAGACACACGGCGGGUGCUAACGUCCGUCGUGAAGAGGGAAACAACCCAGACCGCCAGCUAAGGUCCCAAAGUCAUGGUUAAGUGGGAAACGAUGUGGGAAGGCCCAGACAGCCAGGAUGUUGGCUUAGAAGCAGCCAUCAUUUAAAGAAAGCGUAAUAGCUCACUGGUCGAGUCGGCCUGCGCGGAAGAUGUAACGGGGCUAAACCAUGCACCGAAGCUGCGGCAGCGACACUAUGUGUUGUUGGGUAGGGGAGCGUUCUGUAAGCCUGCGAAGGUGGCCUGUGAGGGUUGCUGGAGGUAUCAGAAGUGCGAAUGCUGACAUAA
rnacentral:rRNA from 1 species